GAUGAACGCUGGCGGCGUGCCUAAUACAUGCAAGUCGAGCGAACAGACGAGGAGCUUGCUCCUCUGACGUUAGCGGCGGUCGGGUGAGUAACACGUGGAUAACCUACCUAUAAGACUGGGAUAACUUCGGGAAACCGGAGCUAAUACCGGAUAAUAUAUUGAACCGCAUGGUUCAAUAGUGAAAGACGGUUUUGCUGUCACUUAUAGAUGGAUCCGCGCCGCAUUAGCUAGUUGGUAAGGUAACGGCUUACCAAGGCAACGAUGCGUAGCCGACCUGAGAGGGUGAUCGGCCACACUGGAACUGAGACACGGUCCAGACUCCUACGGGAGGCAGCAGUAGGGAAUCUUCCGCAAUGGGCGAAAGCUUGACGGAGCAACGCCGCGUGAGUGAUGAAGGUCUUCGGAUCGUAAAACUCUGUUAUUAGGGAAGAACAAAUGUGUAAGUAACUAUGCACGUCUUGACGGUACCUAAUCAGAAAGCCACGGCUAACUACGUG
rnacentral:rRNA from 1 species